AUUGUGCCCUGACUAUUGCUCAGUGAAGUUGUAGGUGCUCUUUGAAAGGAUUCAUGCUGCAAUAACCAGCCUGGUUCCUUCACACAAGGUUCAGGGCAGAAGAAUAGGCCUUUCUUCCUCCGAUUGUUUUCCAUUCUCAAUGUUGCCGGCUGUAAUGAAGGCCUGAGGUUUGCAGUGCCAAUGGGAAGCACAUGUCAAGCCCAUGGUCCAGCGAUGCUAUGGCUGUCAGAGGAGCUUCAGAGCCGCUGAAGGAGCCCUGAUAGAUUAAGGUGGACCUUCUGUUUGCCUCCUUUGCCAUUGUGCUCCAGAAAUGAAGGAAUAUUAUCUCCCUGAAGACUGGAGAAUGAAGAGCGGAGGCGUUAAUGACAUUGGGUGGGUUUGGGACACUGGCAGGGGCAGAGGAGAGGGACACGAUGGAUAAUGUCAUUAUUUUGUAGUCUCAUUCGUGACCUGGAGGAUGUAAACAAUUACGCUGGUGAUAGAGGAGGGGCAAACAGGGCAGAAACAAAGCUUUAGCUCUUUAAAGUUAACUGGGUGUGUGAAUCUAAUGUAUCAUCUAAAAUUGUUUUUGGGAAUGAGACUAUUUGGACCUUUUUAAGCUUGAUUUGAACUUUUAUCACAAUUAGAAAUUUUUUUUAUUUGAUUUAUUUAUUUUUAAUAAAAGCAUUUUUUUCAGCAU
rnacentral:lncRNA from 1 species